CCUGGAAUCGUUUUGUUCCAAAUGAUUUAUCGCCGUGGGAUGGGACUGCGGCCUAUCAGUUUGUUGGUGAGGUAAUGGCCCACCAAGACUAUUACAGGUACGGGCUCUGAGAGGAGUAGCCCGGAGAUGGGUACUGAGACACGGACCCAGGCCCUAUGGGGCGCAGCAGGCGAGAAAACUUUGCAAUGUGCGAAAGCACGACAAGGUUAAUCCGAGUGGUUUGUGCUAAACGAACCUUUUGACAGUCCUAGAAACACUGUUGAAUAAGGGGUGGGCAAGUUCUGGUGUCAGCCGCCGCGGUAAAACCAGCACCUCAAGUGGUCAGGAU
rnacentral:rRNA from 1 species